GAUGGAGAAGCAAGACCUUGAGCAGACGGCCAUCCUCGACUGCUCACCCCCAAUCACAAACUUUGGGGUGAGGCUUCUUUUCUCCCUCUAUAAAGAAGCAUGAUACUGCACUCUUCCCAUCUCCCAGGAUUAGAUGUAAGUAGGUGACCUCUAAAUUUCCAUGUAGAACUUCACUUCUGGAUGGGAUCAUUCUCAGGUCACCAGGAGCUUUGCAGGAAACUCCACGGGACAGAGUGUGCUGACAGCACCCGGCUCAGUCAGUGUUAACCACCUGCACUUUUCUCUUUGUAGCACCCCGGAUUACAAAAGUCUUUCUCUCCCAGUCUCCAACAUUCUUCAGGCCCAGGAGCAAGUACGAGGGAGAACUUACAUCUGGAUGUUAAGAGAAUCUUGGUUUCUUCCAGAAAUUUCUCUACAGAAAUGCAGACAUUAAAGUGGACCAAGGGCCCACCAGUAAGGUUCCAUUAAAGGAAUGGAAGGGCUUCACUGGAUGUGUGGUCAGUCUUCUUCACACGAUGAGAGUUCACCGACAACACAGCAUUGUGGUGUGGCCGUGAGGGUCUGAGCUGAGGUCGUGUGUGGAUGCACUCACUGUGAUCUGCCACUGUGUCCAUCUCAGCUGUCUUGGAUUGUUUUUCCUGGGUGCUUUUUGGGUCCCAGAGUUUGCUUGCAGAGGUAGUAGCUGCGUGGCUGCCCGCGACCGUCUGAAGAUUGUGUAGUGCACUGUCUGUCCUCUCCAUCUCUCUCCUUUUUGGGUCCAUCCUCGGAAUUCCCUUGGUAUCUAGAUCGUUCCUGCUGUAGAUGUGAGUAGCAACUAAUGAAUGUGUGCUCAUUUUUAAAGAUGGACCCUUGGCCUUUUGUUUUGUAAAGAUUUAUUUUAUUUAUUUGAAAGACAGAGUUACAGAGAGAGGUAGAAACAGAGAGAGAGGUCUUCUAUCCAUUGGUUCACUCCCCAGAUGGCCGCAACAGCUGAAACUGCACCAAUCUGAAGCCAGGAGCUUAUUCUGGGUCUCCCAUGUGUGUGCUGGGGCCUAAGGAGUUGAGCCAUCUUCUGCUGCUUUCCCAGGCCAUAGCAGAGAGCUGGAUCAGAAAGAGGAGCAGCCAGGACUAGAACUGGCACCCAUAUGGGAUGCUGGCACUUCAGGCCAGGGCUUUAACCCACUAUGCCACAGUGCUAGCCCCACCCUUGGUCUUUUACACAAAGCUCAGGGUAGUGGAAGCAGCAUCACAGAUCCCUAGGGCUAAAAGGAACCUAAGGCAUUCUCAUUCAGCCAUCUAGCGAAAUAACCAUUUGCACCAUGUUUUUGCAAUGUGCCAGUGAAGUGAGGAGGAAGAAGAGAUUAGAAAAUGGGAUUCACACCAAAACACAACAACAACAACAAUGAAAACCUCCCAGUGUGAUUGAAAGGUGAAUUACAUCAUUGUUACCGGUUCCAAGAAUAGGAUUAGUUUGCAUAAGAGACUGGGGAAGAUCUCACUACAAGGUUUUGUCCUGGAUGCACGUGCCUGGGAGUGAAGGGAAUGUUAUAUACCUCACAGACACUUGCACAGCGAGUGUCAUGAACUGCCAAGGGUAUGGAAGCCUCUUGAGUUCACAAACUCGGACCUUAUUUAGACAAGGCCAUAAUCAAAGUGGAAGUUCUUUCCUCCCUUCAGAGAAAGGUACCUCCUUCAUUGAUGGCCCUUUCUUUCCACUGGGAUCUCACAGAGAUCUUUCAUAUAGGUCAUUUUCUGCCACAGUGUCUUGGCUUUCCACGCUUGAAAUGCUCUCAUGGGCUUUUUAGCCAAAUCUGAAUGCUUUAAGGGCUGGUUAUGAGGCCAGAGUGCAGCACCAGUUUGAAUCUGCAUCAAACCCUGCUCACUGCUGCAUGGAUCCACAGCGCCCCCUGGUGAAUGAACCACAGAAUGGGAAUGACCUGGAGAAUUCCCCAGAA